UGCAAGUCGAGCGAAGCUUUUCAGUAGUUUACUACAGAAAAUGACUGAGCGGCGAACGGGUGAGUAACGCGUGAGCAACCUACCUUAGUUACUGGGAUAGCCCGAGGAAACUCGGAUUAAUACCGGAUAUUCUUAUUUAAUCACAUGAUUUUUUAAGGAAAGGUCAGCCGAACUAAGAUGGGCUCGCGUUCUAUCAGCUAGUUGGUAGGGUAAUGGCCUACCAAGGCUACGACGGAUAGCUGGUCUGAGAGGACGAUCAGCCACACUGGGACUGAGACACGGCCCAGACUCCUACGGGAGGCUGCAGCAGGGAAUAUUGCGCAAUGAGCGAAAGCUUGACGCAGCGACACCGCGUGUGGGAUGACGGAUCUAGGUUUGUAAACCACUUUCAGGAGGGAAGAAAAUGACGGUACCUCCACAAGAAGCCCCGGCCAACUACGUGCCAGCAGCCGCGGUAAUACGUAGGGGGCGAGCGUUGUCCGGAUUUAUUGGGCGUAAAGAGCUCGUAGGCGGUUCAACAAGUCGGUCGUGAAAGUUCAGGGCUCAACCCUGAAAUGUCGAUCGAUACUGUUGUGACUAGGAUACGGUAGAGGUGAGUGAAAUUCCGAGUGUAGCGGUGAAAUGCGUAGAUAUUCGGAGGAACACCAAUUGCGAAGGCAGCUCACUGGGCCGCUAUCGACGCUGAGGAGCGAAAGCUAGGGGAGCAAACAGGAUUAGAUACCCUGGUAGUCCUAGCUGUAAACGAUGGAUACUAGACGUAGGAAUUGGAUUAACGAUUUCUGUGUCGUAGCUAACGCGUUAAGUAUCCCGCCUGGGGAGUACGGUCGCAAGACUAAAACUCAAAGGAAUUGACGGGACCCCGCACAAGCGGCGGAGCAUGCGGCUUAAUUCGAUGAUACCCGUAGAACCUUACCUGGACUUGACAUAUAGGGAAAAGUUAUAGAAAUAUAAUGUGCAUUAGCGCCCUAUACAGGUGGUGCAUGG
rnacentral:rRNA from 1 species